CGAAAUGAAAAAAGGAAAAACACGAUUGGAAAUGGAUAAUAAAUAAAAUUCAGAAUAUUGCAAAACAAGGACAGUGUAAAGCGUGUUUAAAUCUUCCAGAAAUGCAACUGUGCCCUCUUUACAGCAAUUAUAGAUGAAGCAAAGUAUGGUAGCAAGUUAUAAAGAUAUACACACAUGCCGAAGAAGAUUGUAAUAUCUGGAGAAAACAUUUCCUUCGUCAAGAAAUAGACACCGUUACACUGGUCUACGUAACAUUCCUAUUAAAGAUGAUUGAUAUAUUUAAGUGCUUUUAAGAACAGUGUUUGAAUGUCGAAUU